UUGCCCGCCGCGCGCGGCGGGCGGGGCGGGGGCACGGGGGGCCGACGGUGAGGGGUGAAGCCCUGGGGCGCAAACGGGAUUAGAUACCCCGGUAGUCCAGGGUGUAAACGCUGCGGGCUUGGUGUUGGGGGUCCUUAGUGGGCGCCCAGUGCCGGAGAGAAGUUGUUAAGCCUGCUGCUUGGGGAGUAUGUCCGCAAGGAUGAAACUUAAAGGAAUUGGCGGGGGAGCACCGCAACGGGAGGAGCGUGCGGUUCAAUUGGAUUCAACGCCGAAAAACUCACCAGGAGCGACGGAUAUAUGAAGGUCAAGCUGAUGACUUUACCUGAUUUUCCGAGAGGUGGUGCAUGGCCGUCGUCAGUUCGUACCGUAAGGCGUUCUCUUAAGUGAGAUAACGAACGAGACCCUCACCAUUAAUUGCUAGUCCUUUCUCCGGAGGGGGCGCACAUUAAUGGGACCGC
rnacentral:rRNA from 1 species